rnacentral:rRNA from 1 species
AUUGAACGCUAGCGGGAUGCCUUACACAUGCAAGUCGAACGGAGUGGCGGACGGGUGAGUAAUGUAUCGGAACGUGCCCAAUAGCGGGGGAUAACUACUCGAAAGAGUGGCUAAUACCGCAUACCAUUAGAGCGGCCGAUAUUGGAUUAGCUAGUUGGUGGGGUAACGGCUCACCAAGGCCACGAUCCGUAGCUGGUUUGAGAGGCAGACAAGCGACACUGGAAAAGAGACACGGUCCAGACUCCUACGGGAGGCAGCAGUGGGUAAUAUUGGACAAUGGGCGCAACACUGAUGCAGCCCUGCCGCGUGUAUGAAGAAUGCCUUCGGGUUGUAAAGUACUUUCGGCUGGGAGGCGUUAUCCGCAGAAUAAGCACCGGCUAACUACGUGCCAGCAGCCGCGGUAAUUC